UUCGAAGAUGAAACGGCACUGGGCUCCGACGGCGUUAAGACAUAGCGUCCGGUCAUGAUGGAUAUGCCCUUUUUGUGGCAGGCCUAGAAAACCUCGCCCACUGAGA
rfam:Aspergillus aculeatus ATCC 16872 unplaced genomic scaffold ASPACscaffold_2, whole genome shotgun sequence.